AGCGAACGCUGGCGGCAGGCUUAACACAUGCAAGUCGAGCGGGCCCUUUCGGGGGUCAGCGGCAGACGGGUGAGUAACACGUGGGAACGUGCCCUUCGGUUCGGAAUAACUCAGGGAAACUUGAGCUAAUACCGGAUACGCCCUUAUGGGGAAAGGUUUACCGCCGAAGGAUCGGCCCGCGUCUGAUUAGCUAGUUGGUGGGGUAACGGCCUACCAAGGCGACGAUCAGUAGCUGGUCUGAGAGGAUGAUCAGCCACACUGGGACUGAGACACGGCCCAGACUCCUACGGGAGGCAGCAGUGGGGAAUAUUGGACAAUGGGUGCAAGCCUGAUCCAGCCAUGCCGCGUGAGUGAUGAAGGCCUUAGGGUUGUAAAGCUCUUUUGUCCGGGACGAUAAUGACGGUACCGGAAGAAUAAGCCCCGGCUAACUUCGUGCCAGCAGCCGCAGUAA
rnacentral:rRNA from 1 species